GGCCCUAUCGUCUAAUGGUCAGGACAUCACCCUCUCAAGGUGGAGACAUGGGUUCGAAUCCCGUUAGGGCUACCA
rnacentral:tRNA from 1 species